CCUACGGGAGGCAGCAGUGAGGAAUAUUGGUCAAUGGACGAGAGUCUGAACCAGCCAAGUAGCGUGAAGGAUGACUGCCCUAUGGGUUGUAAACUUCUUUUAUAUGGGAAUAAAAUGUUCCACGUGUGGGAUUUUGUAUGUACCAUAUGAAUAAGGAUCGGCUAACUCCGUGCCAGCAGCCGCGGUAAUACGGAGGAUCCGAGCGUUAUCCGGAUUUAUUGGGUUUAAAGGGAGCGUAGGUGGAUUGUUAAGUCAGUUGUGAAAGUUUGCGGCUCAACCGUAAAAUUGCAGUUGAAACUGGCAGUCUUGAGUACAGUAGAGGUGGGCGGAAUUCGUGGUGUAGCGGUGAAAUGCUUAGAUAUCACGUAGAACUCCGAUUGCGAAGGCAGUUCACUGGACUGCAACUGACACUGAGGCUCGAAGUGUGGGUAUCAAACAGGAUUAGAUACCCCAGUAGUC
rnacentral:rRNA from 1 species